rnacentral:rRNA from 1 species
UACGGAGGGCGCGAGCGUUACCCGGAUUUACUGGGCGUAAAGGGCGCGUAGGCGGCUUGGUAAGUCGGGUGUGAAAUCCUUCCGCUUAACGGAAGAAGUGCACCCGAAACUGCCUUGCUCGAGUUUAGGAGAGGAGAGCGGAAUUCCCGGUGUAGAGGUGAAAUUCGUAGAUAUCGGGAGGAACACCCGUGGCGAAAGCGGCUCUCUGGCCUAAUACUGACGCUGAGGCGCGAAAGCGUGGGGAGCAAACAGG